AGACACAUCUCGAAACACAGAGCUUCACCGUUUGUCGUUUCGUAAUCUCUCAAUCUCCAGCAAACUCUACAUCUCCCCAUCUUCAAUAACUUCUUCAUUAAUGGCCCCGUUUCGUAUCAUCUCCGUUAACCCUUCUUAUAUAAACUUCAUCAUAGAUCGAGGAAAUAUGCAUCUCAAAAAACGGCUCGAUAUGAUUCCUCUACCAGGUUUUCUUUACAGCAUCUCAUCGAAAAUCUCUCUCUGCUUCUCCAGUUGCUCAAACCGGAGCAGUGCAUCUCAUAUCAAGUCAAAGCUUUAUUGAACCGGCGCAGAUUUCAACCCAUCAUUGACAAUGUCCUCCUCCGCUGCUAGCAUGAUAUUGUUGCUCACACAGUCGUCUCCAAUCUCUGCCUUGUCUGACUUCUCAGUUCAUUAUUUGCUGUAUCGUCCGCUUUUAGGAUUCAAAGACCAUCAAGAAGAAUGGUGAAUUCGUGGGUAUCAUCACCCUCCUCCUAACCUUUUUAAAAAAAAAAAAAUCUGCAAAGUAACAUAUAAUAAAGCUUUAAGGGAUCUUUGACGGAUAUUUGCAUUUCGGGGAAACAAACUUCUGCUUCACAUAAUAAAGCUGAUCACUCCGUGUAAAACCUCGACCGAUGGAGGCGAAGAUCGAGACGUUGAGUUUCACUCUAGAGAAUCAACCUGAGUUUCAGCGAGUUAUUACAUUCUUUAUUGAAUGAACACUUUGUCAAGAAAACAAGCCGGGCGGCGACUGAACCAGUGAACCGUUCGAUAUCACCGGAGAGGCAGAUCAAAUAAUGUAGCUCUACCAUCUGCAUCACAAGAGACUUGUGGUAGAUUAGAUGUGGAAGGCAUGGACCUUCAAAGAAACUGAUUACAGGUAGUGGUAAACACAGUCGAAAGACAUAAAUAAAUUUAAAAGGAUUAAACUAAUGUUUCAGUUGUGGUGGCUAACACUAAACCUCAUUUGGGUAUCACCGUGUGUCUACGUCGGUGGUCAUACGAGUCCUCACUGCGGCAGAUCGGCUUCAGAAAGGUCUGGGGCAGAUUGUUAUUCAAGAGGCAGUGGAGAGUGAUUAUGGUGUUGACUCGGCUGUAAGAGUGAGGGUUUUACUUUCCAUAUCUGAGUUGUUUCACUCUCUUAGGCCACCAGAGCAACAAUUCAAGGAAUAGAGGUCAAGCGUGAUUAAGGGAAUGGAAACUCUCUUUAGUUGUUGGGCUGAGGGGAUAGAACUGAUACAGUGGAAAGAAACAUAUUUAGGAAGGAGCAAAGUAUCCGAUGUAUUGUCACUUAUGAACUCAUUGCAGGCUCAAACCAAACAUGGAGUGUUGAAACCAUAAUAAGGUUAUUUAAGUCUAUGAUGGAUUCUGAAACUUCUCAAGACUACUGCCUUUUGAGAACACGCUCUACACCAAAGCAAGAAAAGAGGGAGCGGAUUGCAGAGAUGAAGAUGAAAUCAUAAUUACCUUGAGGACAAGGUUUUUCAAGUGGGAAGUAACGUUAAGUUUGGUAAAUUGGCUGUCACGAACAAAAUUUCGAAGCCAAAUUAAAUUUGUAACUUUUAUGCAAGUAACGAGAGUUUUUCUUUUCCAACGGUAACAAGAGUAUUUGUAUUGAAAACUGUAUCAAAAAACAAAUUUUCUUAA